rnacentral:lncRNA from 1 species
GGUGUGUAUAUCUACAUAUAUGUAUAUAUAUACGUAGAGACCUGCACAAGCCUUGAAAUGCUCAGUCUCUGUUUUUAAAACACCAAUUCAUAUUUCACAGGUCAGACGUCUCUUUUCCUUCUCUUGUCUAAAACUGCAAUAAACCCUUUUCUUUUUUUUGGCUAUAUAUAUAUAUUUUAAAACACCAAUACAUGUGACGAUUUUUUCUG